rnacentral:rRNA from 1 species
GAAACGACUCUCGGCAACGGAUAUCUCGGCUCUCGCAUCGAUGAAGAACGUAGCAAACUGCGAUACUUGGUGUGAAUUGCAGAAUCCCGUGAACCAUCGAGUCUUUGAACGCAAGUUGCGCCCGAAGCCAUUAGGCCGAGGGCACGUCUGCCUGGGCGUCACGC